UACGUAGGGCGCGAGCGUUAUCCGGAAUUAUUGGGCGUAAAGAGCUUGUAGGCGGUUUGUCGCGUCUGCUGUGAAAUUUCGGGGCUCAACCCCGAACUUGCAGUGGGUACGGGCAGACUAGAGUGUGGUAGGGGAGACUGGAAUUCCUGGUGUAGCGGUGAAAUGCGCAGAUAUCAGGAGGAACACCGAUGGCGAAGGCAGGUCUCUGGGCCAUAACUGACGCUGAGAAGCGAAAGCAUGGGGAGCGAACAGG
rnacentral:rRNA from 1 species